GACGAACGCUGGCGGCGUGCUUAACACAUGCAAGUCGAACGGAAAGGCCCUGCUUUUGUGGGGUGCUCGAGUGGCGAACGGGUGAGUAACACGUGAGUAACCUGCCCUUGACUUUGGGAUAACUUCAGGAAACUGGGGCUAAUACCGGAUAGGAGCUCCUGCUGCAUGGUGGGGGUUGGAAAGUUUCGGCGGUUGGGGAUGGACUGGCGGCUUAUCAGCUAGUUGGUGGGGUAGAGGCUUACCAAGGCGAUGACGGGUAGCCGGCCGGAGAGGGUGAUCGGCCACACUGGAACUGAGACAGGGUCCAGACUGCUACGGGAGGGAGCAGUGGGGAAUAUUGGACAAUGGGCGAAAGCCUGAUCCAGCCAUAGCGCGUGGGUGAAGAAGGCCUUCGGGUUGUAAAGCCCGUUUGUGGGGAAAGAAAAGCAGCAGGUUAAUACCCCGCUGUUCUGACGGUACCCAAAGAAUAAGCACCGGCUAACUUCGUG
rnacentral:rRNA from 1 species